GGAGAUCCGUCCCCAUUAGUCUCCUACUAAAGGAAAAGGCUGCCCUCCCCCCUCCCGAUGAGGAGAGGCUCCGUGUCUCCCCCUCCCCCCCGUGAGGCCUAGUCGCCGGGCCUUGCCUGGUGGCCCCGCCCGCGCGGGAGAGGCGGGGCUGACACAGACUCCGCCCACGGUGGCCGGGUCGAUCUCGGUCUUUCCCGAGUGGCGAAUUGGCUAUGGGGGAAAAUGAAAAUACGUCGCUGGGGUGGUGGUAAGACCCUUGUUCCUCCCUCCUCUACUGCAGAGAGGUCACUCCUCUCCCACCAAAGGAGAAAGCAGAUGCUGUGAGACAGGGAUGCCCGACUCGCCCCCUCCAGAUGUUCAUGGACUACGACUCGUGGUCCCUGAACAUCUGGAGGGCCCGAGUUGGGUGCCCCUGCGUGAACAUUUUCAGAUUUGUUCCUCUUCUGCAAAAUAUGGCAUUGGAACAUCCCCGUGCCCACCCUGACACUCGGAGCAAAAUGAGGGUGGCAGAUGAUGGGAGUCGUCCGUGAACAUCUGGAGAGCUUGACUUGGGUACCCUUGCUCAAGCAUUUUUGGAUUUUGUUCCUCUUUUCCUGCAAGAUAUGGAAAAUAAACAUUCCUGACUCAAAACCGGGUAGGGUCUCAUGGGAAGCGGAGCCCAUGAACAUCUGGUGGGCCCAAGUUGGACACCUCUGCGCGAGCAUUUUCGGACUUGUUUUUUAUUAUUAUUAUUAUUAUUCUGCAAAAUAUGGAAAACAAAACUUCUCUGAGACGACUGGCUCCCAAAACAAAACGUUCAAUAAAUGCAGUGGCAUUUUUGUUUAGUUUGAGGGGCAAAUCCUGAUGUAGAUCCAAGGGAAAAAAUCUCUCGCAGAUGUCUGUGUUGGUUGGUUUAUUUAAUUCAUUUGUAUGGUGUUUUUAUCCCCAGCGGGGAGCCAAAGCAGUCUGCGUCAUUCUUUUUUUCUCGCUGCCAUUUUAUCCUCAUGACAAUCCUGUGAGGUAGAUUAGGCUGAGUGAGAGGGACUGGCCCAAGGUCACCCAGCGAGCUUCCGUUGCAUGAGCGGGGGUUCAAACUGUGGUCUUCUAGAUACCCACCCAACUGAACCAUGCUGGUUUUCCCUGUACUGAAGAAUAAACAUCUGAGGCGAGGAGAAGAGGGUCAAAAUAAGAUGUGUUACCACCCACCCACACCCUGUUGACAAAUGCCUGGGAAAAAAAGAAGGCUCCUGUUCAGUACACUUACAGGGAGCUGCUACUGAAGUAAGUUGCAUCUCUCUCCCCCCCCCCCCCCCAAAGCCCCUCUCACUGCCAACACUUUGGAAAACAUGCCUGUCAGGUGAAAGAAAGAAGGUCCUUCUCUUCAGUGGGAGGGUAAAGAUCCACACUUUCUCAUCUGUCCUUCCUGCAGGAAAAAAUAGUCCCAACACCCAGUUCCUUUGCAGUAUAUAUCUGUGGGAGGGAGUAGAGACUGUGAGACAUGUCUCUGUUUAUCUGGGGGAAAAUUGUUUGCUCUCUUCCAUACAAACAGAAAAAUUGGCCAUGGAAGAGCACAGCACCCGCAAGGAAAGAAGGGCUAUUCCGUGUGCCUUAAAUAGGAAGGAGGGGGAGAGAGUGUGUGUAAGUAUCCGAUAUAGGCAAAUCCAUAUUUGUUUCUUGCUUCCUCCCCUCCACCAGAGUCAUUAAAACAUUCUGUUCUAAUCAGAAUGCCCUGUUUGGAAGAUAAAAGGGUAGAGAAAGUGAGACCAUCUCUCUUCCUUGAAAAUAAUCAAGCUCUGAGUAAUUUUUUCCUCUUCCCCCCCACUUCCAACACACCUCCAAAUGGCCGCCAAGGCACCCGAAUGCCAGAAAAGGGUGAGGUGCUGCUUGAUAUGUUUGGGGGUAGGGAGCUCUGUUUUAUUAGAUGCAAGCUAAAGUCUCAUUGUCAUCUUUAUUGUGUACCUAACACUGGUGCAAGUCACAUUGAUGGGCCACAUGAAGGAAGUCGGGCGAGGUAUACAUUUAAUAAAAAUGGGUGCGUAACAGUAAGAAUGGGUUUAUCAGAGGGUGAGCACAUGACCUCACUGCCCCCAUCCCACCUGGGGCAUAAGCACAUUAGGUUGCCAGUGAAGCAUGUUUGUACACGUGAGAGAGAAAUUUAUGAGUAAAAUGGAGUAGAAUUGUGCAGGCUCCUCCUUGUUCUGAUGGGAAAAGGACCUGUUCGGAUUCCCUAACUGGCUAAUAACUGUGAAGGUAGUUUGACAGAUUCUUCACAGAUGCAGCCUGUAGAAUGAAUAUCUCUAAUAUGAGGGGGUGCUGCAGGGGCAAGAUCUUAAAGAUCGGUGUCUGUAUCAUGUCUCCUUUUCAAGGUGGUGGGGGAGAUUUAUCCUUGGAGUGAAGACGUUCAUUCAUGACUUGACUUCAGCAAAGAACGUUUAAUUUUUUUCAUGUGGGGAUGGAGUUGACACUUUCCAGCUUGUAAGAUUUUGUGGUUUAUAAUACAGUCGUAUUUAAAUCCUCCUUCAAGCUGAGAUACAUGAAGACUGGGCACUCCAUAGGGAGUGUUUGAAAUAAUGGAGGGAGGUUAAUGCCUCCUAAACAAUUUUUUUACUAACGUUGUCUUUAAAGUCCGUGCUGGCAGGAGAAUUCUCAUCCUUUACUCCAGGGUUGGACACCCCCGGAGUACACAUUUACUCACCUCCACCAAGGAGACAGCAGACCCUGAGGGAGUGGGGAGUAUUACGCAUAAAAAGAGAGCUCAAGGUGGCACAGGGAACUGAGUUCCCCAGACAGUUUACGUCUGUUUACGUCGGAGCAAAACAGUCGGCUUUGUAUUUUUCCAUUCUCAGCAGUUGAGAUGAUGCAAGUGAUUACAUAAAUAAGCUUUUGGGAAAGCGGUGCAAGGGAGGGAGGAUGGAAUCUGGGGCUUGGUUUGCAGGAAAUGGUGUGUGUGUGUGUAUGAAAAAGGCCUGCCAUUUGGUCAGCAAUGUUGAGGAAAGAGAAAGUCUUAGCCCCAUCUAAGAAUCUGAGAUAAUGUGUUGGCUUUUCUGUCUCCAUUGGGGUGUGGACAGUUAAGUCAUUGGUGUCAGUUUCAGAAGAGGAGAAAUGGGGGAAAUGGUUAUGCCCUCUGGGCAUGGCUUGAAUGAACUUCACCAUUCAGUCCUGGAGCAGGCAUGAUGGGGAACUAUGGGUUUGCCCACAACCCUCUUGGGUGUUGCCCUUUUGCCCUGUCACAGGAGUGAUUCCACAGCUCACUUAGUCUUUGCAUACUCUUGUCGUGGCCAAGCAAGUGUUGGAGGACAGAAAAUCUAAUAAGGAUUUGGGAGUUGAAACCCAGGGGGUUCCGAGAAGGUCCAUGUUGGCUUCUGCUGCAGAAUUGCCUCACCCAGCUAGCCUAAACCCUUGCGGUGACUGAGCACGGGUAGGAGUCUGGUAAGGGUGGAGUAGAUGAGUGGGCUGGAAUUAUUGGCUGGAGAAGCCCGCUCGACUUGUUUUGGAUAUUCUGAGCAAGGAGGGCUUUCCUUUCAGCAGACGAGUGGCGUUCUUCUCACAGGCAAAUGGUGGCUUAAAUCCUGCAAGAGGGUCGUAUGAAAGGUCCUGCGGAGCCAUCAGAUACCUAAGCGAGAGAUUGCGAAUGCCUUAGCAGACCAGGUGCUCAGGAGCAGCAGCAGCAGAAGGCCCUUGCUUUCACAUCCUGCAUGUGAGCUCCCAAAGGCACCUGGUGGGCCACUGCGAGUAGCAGAGUGCUGGACUAGAUGGGACUCUGGUCUGAUCCAGCAGGCUAGUUCUUCUGAGAGAUGGGUUAGGGAUUCAAUUCACAGCUGCUGAAAUGGCCUACGCAUAAACCAUUUGCUGUUGCAGGAAUUCUAAGCCUGCUCGAUGAACUGGUUUUAGUUUGGUGCGGUUUUAACCAGAACUGCAGCUCUCCGGUUUUCUUUUCUGUCUUUUUUUUUUGUAAUGUACCAAACGAGAGCUGACACCCACAGCGUAAUUGAUCUAUGCUUAGUGACCUGGUGUGGGUUUUCUUGCUUAUGGGCACAUGGGCCUUGAUGGAGGAGGUCAAGGUCUGCCCAGUUGCAGCACCAAGCAGUGGAGAGGAUCAGCCUUCUGCUUAUAGCCAUUCUAAACCAUGUCUUAAGGAUUCCUUUUACCGUCCAUAUUUCAGGCUGUUUUUGGCAUGGCCAGAACUGGUGUAAAAUGUGUGGCCUUUCAAAAGCCUUUCCUUACAUCAGUGGUCCUCAACCUUCCUAAUGCCGCGACCCUUUAAUACAGUUCCUCAUGUUGUGGUGACCCCAACCAUAAAAUUACUUGUGUCUCAGUUCUUAAGACCAUCACAAAUAUGUUAUCCGAUGGUCUUAGGUGACCCUGUGAAAGGGUCGUUUGACCCCCAAAGGGAUCGCGACCCACAGGUUGAGAACUGCUGCCUUACAUGAUAUGGAAACAUGCAACUGUUGAUCAGUAAUGCUUAGUUUCAAAUGGAAGACAUUCAGCGUGUCUUUAUCUGAUUUGAUUGUUUUACCCCUUCCUUAUCAUUGGGCCCUGUGUUUGCAGAGACACCAUCUAGUUUUUUGUUUGAUACUGGGAUUUUAAAAGCAUGAAUGUAUUUAAAUUGAACAUUGUUAUUGGUGGAAGCCGCCCUGUGCCUGACUCAGGAACCGGCGGGAUGCAACCUUUAAAUCCUUUUGCUUUUUAAAUCCAAUAACGGUAGUUGCAUGGGCUUGCCCAGCCUCACCACCACCAGUAAAAAAUAACUGCUCGUGUACACUGUUUUAAAAUACCAGGCUGCCAUCUAAACAGAAGAGGCAAAUAAACAAACCUUUUUACAGUGUGCCAAAAGGUAUUCUACCUGGCAGCUUCCUUCAAGGAAUUCAUGAAUCCAUGGAAAGUUGUUGCUACCUUGUUAAGCCCUUGGUUUUCAACCGUUUUUAGGAUGCACUGUGCCAUUCUGUACUCUUUAAGUCUUGCGUGUCGGGCAGAAGGAGAUGGGAGAGAGAAAUCGGAUAGCUGCAUAAUCAUUUUGUAAAUUCUGAUCCAGUGACUCUGCAAAUGGCUUGGGGGCGGAGGGGCUGUGCAAAAUGGUGGGCUUUUCUUGUUUUGCCCGUUCACAUCAUUUUGCAAAUGGCUGCUGGCAGAAGGGUUGCAAGAAUUUCCCAAAGGGGAACAUUGAUCUGUUGCAUCUGCUGCGGUGACGCAACCAAAGGGAGCCUGCAGGGUAAGCGGUGGUGCAGAGGGAGGGGCUAAUGGGGGCAGGAAUCAUCACUGUUGGCAUUGAGAAGGAGAGAGAGCUUUUCUCCUGCAUGUUGACAUAAAACCACUGUUGUGUGUGUGGAGUGCUGAUGGGUGUGUGUUGAGAUGGUGGAACCUGCAGUCGUCAUCCAUCAAGUUCAGGAGUAACUGUUGAUAAUUUACAAGCAGGGCUCUAUAUAAAGCCUGUUCUUGAAUAUCAGUGCCCGUUCUUGAAAUCAACUUCCUGUAAUUUAAUAUUGGACACAUUCAGCCAGUUUCCAAGCUAACCCAGUUUAUGUAAGUCCAGUUUACCCAAUAGUGAGCAAUUUUUUUUUUUGCAUUGCCACCAGCGAGAUGCCAGGACUUUUCAUUCAACGAACACAGCUGUAUCCAUCUAAAUCCUACCAAGGAGCAGAGAUUUUGUUGACGGGGCUUGCUUAACAAGAGGAGCUGGCUCCUGCUGGUGGAAGGGAGUGCCCCCUCUUCGUGACUUGUGUUUAAACCUAAGAUCAACUGUGGCUAUUGAUAUUUUAAUGCCAGUUUGCUUGAAGGAAUCUUUGGCCUUGCAUCGGCUCUCCCCGUUGUGAUGAGAUCAGUCCCAUUUUUGCAGUGUGUUGUUCAUCCACACCAGGCAGCCACGAUCUGGUUUGCCAGGCCAAAAAAACCCCAGGAUUCUAGACCGCUCAUGAGCCGGUGAGGAGUUUUGCUUUGCAGGGCACGCCUGCUGAUUUGGAGGUGAUGGCCUAGUGCAGCGGUGGCCAACCUAUGGCGCUCCAGAUGUUCAUGGACUACAAUUCCCAUCUGGCCACACUGGCAGGGGCUGAUUGGAAUUGUAGUCCAUGAACAUCUAGCGCACCAUAGGUUGGCUACCCCUCGCCUACUCCAAGGAACUAACAGUCUUGUCAUCUGCGAGGAAGGAGGAGCCUGGAAUCCCCCCAGGUUUGUCGUGGGCACACCUGAACCAAGGCUCUGCUCUCCUCCUCGUCUCCAUCCCACUGCCAGAAAUUGGCAAGCUCACAGCUGGGUGUUCACGCCUGCCCUGCUGAUGAACUUCCCUCAGGUCCUGGGCCAAUUGAUAAAGUGGGAAGCCCUACACAGAAACCCAGAAAGCAGCAAAUCUGAAAGAAAUCUCGGGCAGGGGCACAUCAGAAUCACUUGAUGCAUACUUUUUAAAUUUAAUGUUUGCCUUUGCAACGCCCCCCCCCCCCCCC